rnacentral:rRNA from 1 species
GCAAGUCGAACGAGAAAGCCACUUCGGUGGUGAGUAGAGUGGCGCACGGGUGAGUAACACGUAGGUGACCUGCCUUUUAGUUUGGGAUAACCAGAAGAAAUUUUGGCUAAUACCGAAUAUGUUCAACAAAUAUGAAUAUAGUUGAAGGAAGAAUGCCUCUCCUUGGAAGCAUUCGCUAGAAGAUGGGCCUGCGGGACAUUAGUUUGUUGGUGAGGUAAUGGCUUACCAAGACUACGAUGUCUAGCCGGAUUGAGAGCUUGAUC